UCUCCGUAGGCGAACCUGCGGAAGGAUCAUUCAUAAUAAAGUGUUUUAUGGCACUUUUUAAAAAUCCAUAUCCACCUUGUGUGCAAUGUUAGAUCUCGUCAAUCUUGGCGAGAUUUUUAUACAUCAACUCAUUCUUUAACUAAUUUGUCUGAAAAAUAUUAUGAAUACUUAAUUCAAAAUACAACUCUCAACAACGGAUCUCUUGGCUCUC
rnacentral:misc_RNA from 1 species